rnacentral:rRNA from 1 species
ACAACGGGAUGCCUCAGUAGCGGCGAGUGAGCGGCAAGAGCCCACGUUUGAAAUCCCUCGGGAGUUGUAGCGGUUGCGGUGGCGGAGUCCAAGUCCCCUGGAAUGGGGCGCGGUACAGGGUGAGAGCCCCGUGGACAGGCCUGCGCGACGUUGUGAGUCGAGUUGUUUGGGAAUGCAGCUCCAAGGGGUGGUAUGCUCCAUCCAAGGCUAAAUAGUGGCGAGAGACCGAUAGCGAACAAGUGCUGUGAAGGAAAGAUGAAAAGCACUUUGAAAAGAGAGUGAAAGAGGGUGUGAAAUUGUUGAAAGGGAAAGGUGGGGGUGGUUUUCUUGGUUUCUAUCUCCCCCGCUU